rnacentral:rRNA from 1 species
UACGUAGGGGGCUAGCGUUGUCCGGAUUUAUUGGGCGUAAAGGGCGCGUAGGCGGCCUUCUAAGUCGAACGUGAAAUCCCUGGGCUCAACCCAGGAACUGCGUCCGAUACUGGAAGGCUUGAAUCCGGGAGAGGGAUGCGGAAUUCCAGGUGUAGCGGUGAAAUGCGUAGAUAUCUGGAGGAACACCGGUGGCGAAGGCGGCAUCCUGGACCGGUAUUGACGCUGAGGCGCGAAAGCCAGGGGAGCAAACGGG